rnacentral:sRNA from 1 species
CCCAGCGAUAAAUCACUGGGCUAUAAUCAUGCUGUCCCUUCGGGACG